rnacentral:rRNA from 1 species
AUGCGCAUGCAUCUUGAAGCCAUUGACGUCGACCUAUGGUAUGUCGUCGAGAACGGUGUUCCCAAGGCUGGAGAAGGUGUCACUGCUGCUGAUGUCAAGAAGUUCACUCAACUGGACUCUACUGCCAAGAAUAUCAUCUGUGGUCAUCUGACCAAAGGACAGUAUGGCCGUGUGAGUGCUUUAAAGACAUUCAAGCUGGUCUGGGACUGGCUCUCCAAGGUCAAUGAAGGCAUCUCAACCCAGAGAGACCAGAGAAUCAGCGUUCUUCGCAACCUCUUCAACCGCUUCAAGCGAAAUGACAAUGAGAAUGUCCAGCACACAUUUGAUCGGCUCACUGACAUCACAAAUGAGCUUCAAGCCCUCGGCGCUACUGAGAUCACCAAACAUGAAAUCGUCAAGACGCUGCUGAGAUCACUUGAUAGUUCGUUUGACAUCCUAGCCCUGAUGAUUCAAGAACGUCCUGAUUUCAAGACACUCGAUCCGUCUGACAUACUUGAGAGGCUCAACACACAUGAGUUUCAGCUUUCUGAGAAAAGAGAUAUCUACGGUCCAAACUAUGGGCGAACUCGUGCCUUGAAGGCAAAAGCUGUUUCCUCAUCUGAAGAAGAAUCUGACAGCAGUUCUGAUGAUCCUGAUGACAUUGGAAGGGAACUUGCAAUGCUAGUGAAGAAGUUCCAAAAAUUCACCAAGAAGACAGGCUUCAGAAAGUCUUCACGAUCAAGCUCAAGGAAUGAUGAAGCUUCUGCUCAUGACUACAAGAAGAAAACAUGCCACAAGUGCAAGAAAACUGGACACUUCAUCUCUGAGUGUCCACAGUGGGACAAUGAGAACAAAAGGAAGAAGAAGAGCAAGGAAUAUGACUCUGACGACAAGAAGAAGAAGAAGAAAUACUCAAAGUCUUCUUCCAAGUCUUCCUCAAAGUCUUCAUCACAUAAGAAGAGCUCAUCUGGCAAGGCACGUGCGUUUGUUGGCAAGGAAAUGGAUUCAGAGAAAGAGUCCGCUUCUGAGGAGGCAGAGGUAGAGUCUGAGGAGGAGUCUGAUUCUGGCAUUGCAAGUCUGGCUACAGCAUACGUCGCCAAGUCCAUCUUCAACACUGAAGACAAUGACUUCAUCACCGACACCGAUGCAAAUGACAAGGACGACUCCGCUCCUACCUACUGCUUCAUGGCACGUGGUGCCAAGGUAAACAAACGCACUACUCACUAUCAAACAUCCAGUGACGAUGACUCUGAUUGUGAUUCAAAACCCAGCUACAAAACACUUGCUAAAAUUGCAACUGAACAACAAAAGGCCAUGGAACAUAUUCAAAAAUUGUUAGACAGAAGCGAUGAUCUGUUGGGUGCUGAAAUGACUCGAUCUGAAUCCUUAAUUGAAGACAUAAAAAAUCUUCACGUUAAGUAUCAGGAACUUGAAGAUCGUCUUGAGACUCUCUCAACUACUCAUGAAAAGCUUUCCUAUGAUUAUCUUCAAAGGAAGCAAGAACUUGAGAAGUUGAGAGCGGAUCAUGAAGAUCUUCAAAAGGAAAACGAGUCACUUCGCGCCGAACAGAUCAGUUCCGCUCAGGAAGAAUUUGAACCACCAUGCCUUAAAUGCAUUGAGCGUGAUAAUGCUACUUCUGUUGCUGAAUGUUCCACUGCUACCGCUGUUGCAAUAUCUUCAACUGUUGAAAUGGUAACUAACCCCUCUGCUGAGGAUACCACUGCUAUUGCUGAUGAGAAUGCUAGGUUGAAGACAUUGCUUGAAACAGGGAUGUACAAAAGUCUUAAAGGGCAUCAGACAUUAUGUGAUGUCCUUAAGAAGCAGAUUCUGAACCAGAACCCUAGGAAAGAGGGUGUUGGGUUCAUAAGGAAAAUAAAUGCAGAUGGCUCUUACUGGAAACCUGAGCAGUACCCCAAAACCACAUGGGUUGCUGCAAAGGAAUCCUCAGCAGAUCCAUCCAAUCUAUCUGGCUUCACUUGUGCUAACCCCAUUAUCAUUGAUGAAUCCUUUGAUGCAAACUAUAAAGUGUUUAAGAAUCAGAAUGGUGAAGUGUUUGCCAGGUACAUUGGUACUAACUGCAGGAAUGGAUCGCCUAUGAAGAAGAUCUGGGUUCCGAAAACGUGUCUGGAAAAUCUUCCUGUGAAUGUCUUCAUGACACCUCACAUGAAGAAGACAAACCUCAGCCCAAAGGCUUCAUACAGACAGAGGACUCACCUGAGUCGCACUAACGCAAAUGUUUUGCAGGGAAACCAUACUCAGGCAUAUGAAUAUGAGAGCGGUUCAUCAAACCGUCAUGUUCAUAUGACCAAGAACUAUUCUGCCUAUUCUUAUGAGUACUAUUGUCCUCCUGCUAGACUGUUUGCUAGGGCUCCAAAGCCAAAAUUCUCAGAUGCUGCACUUAGACUUAUUGCUUCUAAGCCACCCUUGAAGAUGUGGGUGGUUAAGAAAGCUUAA